rnacentral:lncRNA from 1 species
ACGGCGAUGAUGGUGGGCAAGACAGCAGGGCGCCCUCUCUAUAUCUCUCCUCUCUCUCUCUCUCCAACGGGUAUGGGCAGAGGGAGUCGUGUACGACCGUUGUCCUCUGAUUUGGAGGGGGUGAACGGGCCGUGGGAUUCGUCAGAGGACCACUCGGCCACGGAUGUCCACAGGGCCACAUACACCGGGUAACCUGGUCCACCAAGUAAUCUACUUUUCCUUUACGAUUUAAAUUAUUUAAUCUGAAAUUUCCUCCUCCUGACCCCAGAAAAUACGUGGCGGCGCACGUGGACAUUACAUGGGGUUCUCCGUAAGACACGUCAGGGGAAGGAAAUCAAACCCAUGCGUCCCGCUGAAAUUAGUUGACACGUGGAUGGAAGACCAUUUUUGAAGACUUUGUGAGGUAGUCUAAUUCUCCAGUUUGACUCUCUUUUUAAAAUAAAUCCUUUAAUUAAAAAUAAAAAUAAAAUAUUCUGUGGUCUGCCGGGGAUCGACAACAGGAGCAUAACCCAUAUACGUCGAAUGGUAGAUAUCACAUUUGGU